UACGUAGGGCGCAAGCGUUAUCCGGAAUUAUUGGGCGCAAAGAGCUCGUAGGCGGUUUGUCGCGUCUGCCGUGAAAGUCCGGGGCUCAACUCCGGAUCUGCGGUGGGUACGGGCAGACUAGAGUGAUGUAGGGGAGACUGGAAUUCCUGGUGUAGCGGUGAAAUGCGCAGAUAUCAGGAGGAACACCGAUGGCGAAGGCAGGUCUCUGGGCAUUAACUGACGCUGAGGAGCGAAAGCAUGGGGAGCAAACAGG
rnacentral:rRNA from 1 species